rnacentral:rRNA from 1 species
AACGAACGCUGGCGGCAGGCCUAACACAUGCAAGUCGAACGCCGUAGCAAUACGGAGUGGCAGACGGGUGAGUAACACGUGGGAACAUACCCUUCGGUUCGGAAUAACUCAGGGAAACUUGAGCUAAUACCGGAUACGUCCGCGAGGAGAAAGAUUCAUCGCCGGAGGAUUGGCCCGCGUCUGAUUAGCUUGUUGGUGAGGUAACGGCUCACCAAGGCGACGAUCAGUAGCGGUCUGAGAGGAUGAUCAGCCACAUUGGGACUGAGACACGGCCCAAACUCCUACGGGAGGCAGCAGGUGGGGAAGUAUUGGGACAAUGGGCGGCAAGCCUGAUCCAGCCAUGCCGCGUGAGUGAUGAAGG